rnacentral:rRNA from 1 species
UACGUAGGGGGCUAGCGGUGUCCGGAUUUAUUGGGCGUAAAGAGCGUGUAGGCGGCCAGGUAGGUCUGGUGUGAAAACUCGAGGCUUAACCUCGAGAUGUCAUCGGAAACCAUCUGGCUAGAGUCCGGAAGAGGAGAGUGGAAUUCCUGGUGUAGCGGUGAAAUGCGCAGAUAUCAGGAAGAACACCCGUGGCGAAGGCGGCUCUCUGGAACGCAACUGACGCUGAGACGCGAAAGCGUGGGGAGCAAACAGG